CUGCGCCGCAGUGUGCUGUACCUGGAAACCAGAGAUUUGCGGUGUUCGGAACCGACUCAUCAGGGUCCCCGGCACAACACUUUAUUCUCUGGACGUGCCGGGGGAGGGGUGUUCGCUUUGCCUCCGAGGGACCCCUCCUCUAGGUGUGAAAGAUGCUAGCCCAGCGCCCAUGGGGUGUCGAAAGCAACAUAUAAAGGUUCGAAACUCAGGAAACCUCGGCGAUCGCCUGCGCUAGCACAUACACACGGUCCCGCGCACACUCAGUCUGCGCCCGCCCUUCCUCCCUCCCUGAUUUGCUUCUGGGAAAACAAGCCUUGAGAGCUGCGGACUCGCCCCAAGUCACGGUGCUUAAGCAGGAGUCCCUGGUAGAAACAGGCUGAAAACUCCCCUCCCCGCUCACUGGUGGAGUCAUAUCCUGUGCGGCCUCUAGGAAGCGCUAGACACAUGCUUGCUUCAGAAAGUCAUCUUCUCAUAUUACCUGGUAAUAUAAGGGACUUCAAGAACAUACAGAAGAACAGAGCCCUUGAUCUCUGAAUGACCCUGUGGAAGGAGACUCACUG
ensembl:antisense Junos jun proto-oncogene, opposite strand